rnacentral:rRNA from 1 species
GACGAACGCUGGCGGCGUGCUUAACACAUGCGAGUCGAACGGAAAGGCCUGCUUUCCCUUGUGGAUUGCGGGUACUCGAGUGGCGAACGGGUGAGUAACACGUGAGUGAUCUGCCCCCAACUUGGGUAUAAGCCUGGGAAACUGGGUCUAAUUCCCGAUAGGACUGCAGGGUGGUGCCUGUGGUGGAAAACGAUUUUCUAGUGGUUGGGGAUGAGCUCGCGGCCUAUCAGCUUGUUGGUGGGGUAAUGGCCUACCAAGGCGGCGACGGGUAGCCGGCCUGGGAGGGUGGACGGCCACAUUGGGACUGAGAUACGGCCCAGACUCCUACGGGAGGCAGCAGUGGGGAAUAUUGCACAAUGGGCGGAAGCCUGAUGCAGCGACGCCGCGUGGGGAUGACGGCCUUCGGGUUGUAAACUCCUUUCGACCGCGAGGAAGCCACCUGGUUGGAAGGGUGGUGACGGUAGUGGUAGAAGAAGCACCGGCUAACUACGUG